GAUGAACGCUGGCGGCGUGCCUAAUACAUGCAAGUCGAGCGAACGGACGAGAAGCUUGCUUCUCUGAUGUUAGCGGCGGACGGGUGAGUAACACGUGGAUAACCUACCUAUAAGACUGGGAUAACUUCGGGAAACCGUAGCUAAUACCGGAUAAUAUUUUGAACCGCAUGGUUCAAAAGUGAAAGGCGGUCUUGCUGUCACUUAUAGAUGGAUCCGCGCUGCAUUAGCUAGUUGGUAAGGUAACGGCUUACCAAGGCAACGAUGCAUAGCCGACCUGAGAGGGUGAUCGGCCACACUGGAACUGAGACACGGUCCAGACUCCUACGGGAGGCAGCAGUAGGGAAUCUUCCGCAAAGGGCGAAAGCCUGACGGAGCAACGCCGCGUGAGUGAUGAAGGUCUUCGGAUCGUAAAACUCUGUUAUUAGGGAAGAACAUAUGUGUAAGUAACUGUGCACAUCUUGACGGUACCUAAUCAGAAAGCCACGGCUAACUACGUG
rnacentral:rRNA from 1 species